rnacentral:rRNA from 1 species
AAAUUGAAGAGUUUGAUCAUGGCUCAGAUUGAACGCUGGCGGCAGGCCUAACACAUGCAAGUCGAACGGUAACAGGAAACAGCUUGCUGUUUCGCUGACGAGUGGCGGACGGGUGAGUAAUGUCUGGGAAGCUGCCUGAUGGAGGGGGAUAACUACUGGAAACGGUAGCUAAUACCGCAUAAUGUCGCAAGACCAAAGAGGGGGACCUUCGGGCCUCUUGCCAUCGGAUGUGCCCAGAUGGGAUUAGCUAGUAGGUGGGGUAACGGCUCACCUAGGCGACGAUCCCUAGCUGGUCUGAGAGGAUGACCAGCCACACUGGAACUGAGACACGGUCCAGACUCCUACGGGAGGCAGCAGUGGGGAAUAUUGCACAAUGGGCGCAAGCCUGAUGCAGCCAUGCCGCGUGUAUGAAGAAGGCCUUCGGGUUGUAAAGUACUUUCAGCGGGGAGGAAGGGAGUAAAGUUAAUACCUUUGCUCAUUGACGUUACCCGCAGAAGAAGCACCGGCUAACUCCGUGCCAGCAGCCGCGGUAAUACGGAGGGUGCAAGCGUUAAUCGGAAUUACUGGGCGUAAAGCGCACGCAGGCGGUUUGUUAAGUCAGAUGUGAAAUCCCCGGGCUCAACCUGGGAACUGCAUCUGAUACUGGCAAGCUUGAGUCUCGUAGAGGGGGGUAGAAUUCCAGGUGUAGCGGUGAAAUGCGUAGAGAUCUGGAGGAAUACCGGUGGCGAAGGCGGCCCCCUGGACGAAGACUGACGCUCAGGUGCGAAAGCGUGGGGAGCAAACAGGAUUAGAUACCCUGGUAGUCCACGCCGUAAACGAUGUCGACUUGGAGGUUGUGCCCUUGAGGCGUGGCUUCCGGAGCUAACGCGUUAAGUCGACCGCCUGGGGAGUACGGCCGCAAGGUUAAAACUCAAAUGAAUUGACGGGGGCCCGCACAAGCGGUGGAGCAUGUGGUUUAAUUCGAUGCAACGCGAAGAACCUUACCUGGUCUUGACAUCCACAGAACUUUCCAGAGAUGGAUUGGUGCCUUCGGGAACUGUGAGACAGGUGCUGCAUGGCUGUCGUCAGCUCGUGUUGUGAAAUGUUGGGUUAAGUCCCGCAACGAGCGCAACCCUUAUCCUUUGUUGCCAGCGGUCCGGCCGGGAACUCAAAGGAGACUGCCAGUGAUAAACUGGAGGAAGGUGGGGAUGACGUCAAGUCAUCAUGGCCCUUACGACCAGGGCUACACACGUGCUACAAUGGCGCAUACAAAGAGAAGCGACCUCGCGAGAGCAAGCGGACCUCAUAAAGUGCGUCGUAGUCCGGAUUGGAGUCUGCAACUCGACUCCAUGAAGUCGGAAUCGCUAGUAAUCGUGGAUCAGAAUGCCACGGUGAAUACGUUCCCGGGCCUUGUACACACCGCCCGUCACACCAUGGGAGUGGGUUGCAAAAGAAGUAGGUAGCUUAACCUUCGGGAGGGCGCUUACCACUUUGUGAUUCAUGACUGGGGUGAAGUCGUAACAAGGUAACCGUAGGGGAACCUGCGGUUGGA